UUCUCUCUGGUGAGAUUCAAACCUGUUGUUCUACCCUUUCUGUCCUCUGUCAAACACCUUUUAUUUCAUAAACUAGAUGCCUGCCUCAUUCGCUGGAUGAAUCCACAGAGAAAUGUGGCACAGAGUUCUGGUUGUGCUGCACCCUAAGUGGACUUUGCUCUGCCAGCAA